UCUGCUUGCAACUUAAGUAGC
rnacentral:piRNA from 1 species